UCUGCCUUGUAGUGGGGGAUAACUUGCCGAAAGGUAAGCUAAUACCGCAUACGCCCUAAGGGGGAAAGCAGGGGACUCUUCGGAGCCUUGCGCUAUUAGAUGAGCCUAGGUCGGAUUAGUUAGUUGGUGGGGUAAUGGCUCACCAAGACCGCGAUCCGUAACUGGUCUGAGAGGAUGAUCAGUCACACUGGAACUGGGACACGGUCCAGACUCCUACGGGAGGCAGCAGUGGGGAAUAUUGGACAAUGGGGGGAACCCUGAUCCAGCCAUGCCGCGUGUGUGAAGAAGGCCUUCGGGUUGUAAAGCACUUUAAUUUGGGAGGAAGGGCUUACGGUUAAUAACCGCUAAGUUUUGACGUUACCAAAAGAAUAAGCACCGGCUAACUUCGUGCCAGCAGCCGCGGUAAUACGAAGGGUGCGAGCGUUAAUCGGAAUUACUGGGCGUAAAGCGCGCGUAGGUGGUUCAUUAAGUUAGGAGUGAAAGCCCCGGGCUCAACCUGGGAAUUGCUUCUAAAACUGGUGGGCUAGAGUACAGUAAAGGGUGGUGGAAUUUCCUGUGUAGCGGUGAAAUGCGUAAAUAUAGGAAGGAACAUCAGUGGCGAAGGCGACCACCUGGACUGAUACUGGCACUGAGGUGCGAAAGCGUGGGGAGCAAACAGGAUUAAAUACCCUGGUAUCCACGCCGUUAACGAUGUCAACUA
rnacentral:rRNA from 1 species